rnacentral:lncRNA from 1 species
GCGGCCCCUCGGAGUCCCACCAGGCUCGGUCGCCAUCUUGCGACUGGACAGAAAGGGUAAUCCCUCUUUUUAGUUUCUGCUGUCUGUGACCCGAAAGAAUAAACCUGGGACUUCCGGAAGCCCUCUGGGCACCCCCCCCCCCAGGAGGGUUGCAGAGCCCCUUGGUGUACCCAGCAGAGGAACGCCUCAGACUUUGUUGGGAAACGAAUGGCUCUGAAAGUUAGCUGAAGCCGCUGGAAUAGCCCCCCAGCCCCGAGGCGGGGCAGGUGCCUGCCGUUAUUGGCUUUUCGACCCCAACCCUUUUCUAUCUGGAGCUGCCUUUGUAGAUGUUGCAGGGGUGCCCCGAGAGUGCAGGCCAGAUUUUAGAGGACCAAGGUCAUCUACUUAGGCCUCUUGCCAACACAGGAUGUGUCAACUAGUUUACCAGAGACGAAGGUAAAGUCCCGUCUCCUGCAGUUGUUGACGUUCAGUAGGUCGUCGGUUAAGAAAAGUGGCUCCCUGGUUGACCCCAGCUGGAUAGAGGCUAAUUUUGAUCCAUAUGACAGCUGAACGUAGUUAAAGCCAUUAAAAUUAAAUCCAUUUAAAGUCAUAUUUGGUACCAGGGUCACCAUUUUAAAAGGUGUGUGUGUGUAUGUGUGUGUGUGUGUGUGUGUGUGUGUAUAGCUUUACAACACUUGCUAGCAAAGCCAAAAGAGUAUCACUAACAAUUCAUAGUGUUACAACUUGCAACUUUGUUGAUAAGCCCUUGAAGUACUAGAUGAGUACCCAUGUCUAGUAUUCAGAUUUUUUAUAUCAACAGUCGUACAUAGCAGUGUAUCUUUUUUAAAUUUAUUUUUAUUUUUAAACUUAGAAAUGGUGUCUUGCUAUGUUAGGCCCAGGCUGGUCUCGAGCUCCUGGCCUCAAGUGAUCCUCCCACCUCGGCCUCCCAAAGUUUUGGGACUACAGGCAUGAGCCACAGUGCUCGGCCAGCAGUGUAAUUUUUAACUGUCAGUCUCGGAACAUCUUUUUUGUAUAGCCAAGUGUGUGGGUGUGUGUGUGUAUCCGCCUCACAACUAUAACCAACCAUUGAAAAACCAACAAUAAGCUAGAAGAAUUUAAGUUAUUCCAGGACAACUGAUGAUAAUGAUAGUAUUAAGCCAUAUUCGAUUUUAAGAUGUUUUAACUCAGCUCUUUACUCACUUUUCAUUUCCUCUCAUUACACAUCCACAUUUGGAAACUAUUUGCUGUUAUAUUUCAUGGAAAGGACUAGUAAGAAUUAUAAUCUUUAAAAAAAUUUAUCUUCGCAAGUUUUCAAAAUAGGCAACAAAGAAUGUAAAUCUUUAAGGACUUUAUUGUUGGACUAAUUAAAGCAUACCAUUUCUACUAUAUCUAGCAUAUGGAGAUACUUAUAGGUAUUCUUCCUUUUAAGUAGAAAUUGACAAUAAAUUAAGUGUAAUUUUAUAAUGGCCUGGUGUAUCAAAGUGUGGCGGAAAUCCCUGAGUUCCAAAAAGAUUAAAGACCGAAGGGAAAUAAGUCUGCUUUUAGCUAGAUGUCAGAAUGACUAUUCAUUGCUUUACUGAGAUCAAGGAGGAUCUUAAUUCCUCCUGGAGAAAUUACGUAUAUCCGUUUUAGUUCAUUAAUUUUAAAUCUGUAUUCUUAUGUGUGACAUUAGUAUUAGAAUUCUUUCAAGAUUUCACUGUGCUUUUUGUUUUAUCCAUUUUCAAAUUUAGAAAUGUUUGCUCAUCAAACUUACCAACAUAAAUACUUUCAGGAAUCCUUAAGAUACUAGCAGUGUUCCACUUCCCUAUACACCUGUUUAUAUGAAAAAUAAAAAAAUUCUCCCAUAUCAGACCCAUGUGUUUUUUUUUUUUUAGGUGUGUUUUUCCCAGAAAAACAACUUUGUAUCUACUAAGUGAACAGUGAUUUCUUCAGACUUUUCUAGUCCAAAUGAGACCCAGUAGUUUCUAAUAAUUUUCUCAUUUCAGGUAUACAGUAAAAAGAGCAAUUUAAUUUUAUAAGCAUCUGCAUCAAUGCCUUGAGCAAACUUUGAGCUAAUGUUUACCCAGAACUAUUUAUGUGUCAUAUGUUGGACUACUUGAACUACUAUUUAUGUGCCAGACCUUGGGAAACAAUAAAAGAUGAACAAUCUCUAUCCCUGCCCUCAAGAACUUGCAGUUCCAGAGGAAGUCACACCUGUAAGAUUGGACACUUUUUCAGAGUAACCCAACACUUCAUUGAGCAUGGGGGGUACCUAGUAAUAUGUAUCUGCUAAUACUAACAAACUUUUUAUUUUAUUAUUAUUAUUAUUUUUUUGAGACAGAGUCUUGCUCCGUCGCCCAUGCUGGAGUGCAGUGGCGCAAUCUUGGCUCAUUGCAAGCUCCACCUCCCAGGUUCAUGCCAUUCUCCUGCCUCAGCCUCCCAAGUAGCUGGGACUACAGGCACCCGCCACCACGCCUGGCUAAUUUUUUGUAUUUUUAGUAGAGACGGGGUUUCACCGUGUUAGCCAGGAUGGGCUCGAUCUCCUGACCUCGUGAUCCGCCCGCCUCGGCCUCCCAAAGUGCUGGGAUUACAGGCAUGAUCCACCAUGCCCAGCCAACAAACUUUUUUUUAAAGGAAACAUUUUGCCCUAAAUUGCUGGUGAAGUUGUUUUUUGACAGAGCUGUUUUAUUGCUGAAGAUUUCUUAUUGAUGCCAGUCAUAACAGAUGAAUCAAAAUGCAAGAACAACUUUUUUUACUACUCAGCAUGCCCCAGGAUCAGAAAUAAGUCGAGCAUGGAAGAGACAAAAUUCAGAUAUGGUGGGAUAGAAGUCACGGUUGCUAUUUUUAGGCCACAUCCAAAUGUUACACACUCAACUUCUGAAAAACACUAAGCUUUCAAUAUAUGAAUAGCUCCCAUUAUUUAAGAAAUACUGUUAAGCAAACUUAGCUCCAUGAAGAACACUGGCAUAUGAUAAGUGCUCAGUAAAUGUUAGUGCUUAGUAGUGGUAGUAGUAGUAGUAUAUGUAUCAUUGUUUAGUACUGCACACAUCAGGCAUGAACUCCUACAUACCCCCACCCUUAUGCCUGCAGACCUGUCUAAAUUUGCAUUCUUUCUGACCUCGAGUCUUAAGGUAGAAGCCAUCCUUCUGUCCUUUCUACAGGUAAUUUUUAUUUCUUGAGGGAAGAGAGAUUGACUCAAGACUCUUACUCCCUUAAAUAUUCCCACUCCUGUUCAUAAAUUCUCCCUCUACUUUGUCCCUUCUAUUUAGAAAAGCUGUCUAUACUUAGAUUGCUAUUACCUUCCAAAUUCCUCUUCAACUACAGAAAUUUAGCAGCUCCCUCCAUUUUACUGUAUACAUUGCUUGUAUCAAUUUCACUGUGGCAUAAUGGCCAAAUUGAAAGGUUGCUUCUCAGUUUUCAUAACAUCUGAUCUCUCUGCAGCCUUCCACACUGCUGACCACUGCCUCCUGGAAACUGCUCCCUUGGUUCUGUCACCUUACAUUCUCUGCUCUUCUGCCUUGUCUUAGGCCACUCUUUCUCAGGUCUCCUGUGCAGAAUCCUCCCUCCCCAUUCUUGGUUCUCUGCCUACCAUGUUAUAAUCUUUGACAGUACCAUUUACGUAUACUCUUCUAUCACUUAUUUCAGUCAGGAAUCAAGUCUGAAUCUUGAACACAGAUCUCAGUCAGAAGCAUCAGACACAGUAUCUUCAACCCCUUAUUGGAAACCUGUACUGGGUGUUCUACAGGCACCUCAAGCUCAACAUGAUUAACAUCAAACCCCUGAGUUUGUUCUGUCUUCCACCAUGGACUGAGAUGUGAUAACAGUGCAAAGGAGCAGGUUUUGGGAGAACAAGCAGGAAUUUAGUUUUGGUAAUGUUAAAUUUGAGAUACCUGUUGGAUAUCUGUUGUACAAACUGCUUCCUAGCUGACUCUUAUGCAUUCUGCUCUUUAUCCAUGAUAAUAGAACAUCUAGCCAGACACAUGGUUGCCUAUAAUACACCCUUAAGUGUGGCCAUAUCUCUUAAGUUCUGGCCAGUAGGAUGUGAGCAGAAAUUAUGUAUGCAACUUCCAGAUCAUUUUCUAAAAGAAAUUGGGUGUCACUUGCCCUUUCUUUUGUCCUUUUCUGAUGAAUGUAUGUAUUAAAUAGUUGGGGUAGUAAACCAUGUUGAAAGAUGCUGUGGUUUCAAUGAUGGUGUCCCCUUCAAAAUUCAUGUUGAAACUUAAUCCCCAUUGUGAUGAUACUAACAGCUGAUGAAAUCAUGAGGGCCCUGCCUCAUGGAUGGAUUAAUACCUUGUAAAAGGACUGGAGGGAACUAGCUUAGGCCUUCUUUUGCCCUUCCAUCCCUUUAGCCACACGAGGACACAGCAUUCACCCCCUCCAGAGGAUAUAGCAGUAAGGUCCCACCUUGGAAACUGCAGCCCUCACCAGACACUAAACCUGCUGGGGGUCUUGAGCUUGUACUUCCCAGCCUUUAGAACUGUGAAAAAGUAUAUUUCUGUUCUUCACAAAUUUCCCAGUUUCAGGUAUUUUGUUACAGCAGCAUAAACAAGACUAAGACACUGGGAAACAUUCUAGGGAUUGCAGAGCAACAAGUUGGGGCCCUGAGGACUUCAUUGGGCAGGUCCUGUGUACCAGGUCAACUCUGAUGUAAGACAGCUACUAACUUCUAUGAUCUGCCAUGGUUAUUCUAAAUCCCUUUAACUGCAGCUGACCUUGUGUCUUAAUAUCCAAGCAAAGAUAUCAGGAGGCAGUUGGAUGUGGAAGUCUAGAGUUAGAGGAGAAUGAAACCAACUCAUCUUACAUUCUUUGACUUGAUUGGUGACUCUACCAUCUAUGGCGGUCCACAGUCAUAAUAAUGGUAGCAAUCCUGGAUUUCUUCCUUUCCCUCACUCUCCUGGCAAUUAAGAGGCAAAGUUGUAUCUCUCUAAAGAAUUGGCUUUAGAAUUAGUGUAGCAAAGUAGCUGAGAGCACAGGCCCCCAACUUACUGGCAAGUGCACAGAUACCAGGCAAGAUUGUAAACCCCUUUCUGAUUUAGUUUCCUCAUCUAUAAAAUGGAGGUGUAGGGAUUAAGUGUUAAUGUACAUAAAGUUCUUAGAAUAAUGCUGGGCACAUAGUACAACUCAACAAAGGCAGGCUUCCCCCCGCCCCACGCAAAUCCCAGUUCUGCCAGUUACCAGAAAUACAACCUUGAGUACCUCAAUUGGUGUCUGUUUCCUCUUUAGGAAAGUGGGAAAAAAUAAUAGUACCAUCCUCAUAGGACCAUUGUAAUCCUUCAUUCAUCUAUUCAGUACAUAUUUAUUGAAUGGAUAUGUGCGAGCACUGUUAUCAGUGCUGAGAAUACAGCAAUGAACAAAAACAGUCUACCUUCAUGGAGUUUGUGAUCCAUGGAGGAAGAAAACCAACACAUAUGUGUUAUGUCAGAAUAUGAUAUGUUAAGGAGAAAUACAAAGCAAGGCAAAGGGAAUAGGGAGUGCUACAGGAGUUCCGUCAUGCCGAGUGGCCAGGGAAGAUCUUAUUGAAAAGAAUUCGUUUAAUCAGAGGCUUGACAGAAGUGAGGAAUGAACUGUGGAAAUACAAAGGAAACAACCUUCUAGACAGAGGGGGCCCUGAAGCAGAAAGGUGCCUAGAGUCAUCUAGGAACAGUAGCAAGGCGUUGUGGCUAGAGAGAGAAAGGAGGAGUUGAAGAUGAGCUCAGAGAAGUCACAGUGGGUCACAGCCUGGAGGACUUUUUAGCUUUUCCUAAGAACUUAGGUAUUUGUGCUGAAUGAGGUGGGAAGCCUCUGGAAGGGUUUGAGAGAGUUAUGACAAGAUCCAUAGAAUAACUCUAGCUACUGUGUGGAGAAUGGACAAAGAUAGUGCAUAUGAGGUGUUUAGUGCCUGACACAUGGGAGGUGUUCAAUAAAUGGUAAUAAGCAAUAUCAUCAUCAUCAUUAUCAUAACAUCCAUUUCCUUCUGUAUAUUUCCACUGCUACUACCUUAAUUUAGACCCUUAGUGUUUAGACCCGUUGUGUUUCUGAACUAGACUGUAAGUUCCAGAAGGGUAAGAUCAUAUUACCUCAUUCACUAUUUUAACCCCAACAUUCAGAGAAUGCUGGUUCAUAUUAUACUACUUUCCUGCCAAAUGUCCUCAUCACAGUAUGUUUUCUUAAGAAACAUGUGUUAUCACCUUGCUGCCUUUCUUAACUCUAUCAGUGGCUCACCAUGGCCUUCUGAAUAAUGUCUAAACUCCAAAAACGGCCCAUUGGAUGUGGCCUCUGCCUCCAUUCCAGCCCCAUCUCCCACUUCCCACAUGAAUGUAUUGCUUAGGCAAUACUUAAGCUUGAGAGUCAUUUGGAGCUCUUUUGCAUGCAGUUUAUUCUACCUUUUAGACAAGUUCAAGCUCCUCCUCUGAGAAGCCUUUCAGAUCUACUCAAGGAGGGUCAUUGCUUAUACCUCUGUGUGCCCUCCGCAUACUCGAUGUAUGUGCUUAGCACUUCUGUCUUCUCUUAAGCUUCUUGAGAGAGGAGAGCACCCUUGACUUCUUGUGUUCCCAGUAUCUAUCUCAAUGGCUAAAACCUGGUAACUCCUCAAAAAAGGUUUGAAUGAGUGAAUCGGGCUUUGUGAGUGUAAAAGUUAAGAACUGAGACCAGCAUGUCUAAUAGAGGGCCCCUUUACUGAGCUAACAUGUAAUAAAGUAGUGUAUCUUUGAAUGUUUCAUUUUUCAGCUAUGUCAAGUAGAGAUACAAAGUGCAGUAGUGCCUGCUUAUACAAUUCAGUGGGAACAGAAAAAUCAGGCAAAUGAAAUAAAUGUAAGAAAUCUUAACUUCUUGUCAAUUCCAAUAAAUAUGCAACAAUAAAGUAUUUUAAUUAGAACCGUGGUAUAUGAAGUAUAAAAUUAAGAUAUUGAACAAGAUGAUCUAUGAAGUCCUUCUAAAGCUAUGACUUUUUCAACCACCAAUUUCACGAAUUGCCUCUAUAGCCAAGACUACACAAGAAGUUACUGGAGCAAAAACCUGGAAGUCUAUCAAAUCAUGCUUUGACCUUGGUCAUCCCAAUCUCUUUGUGCCUGUCUUAACCCAGCUGGAGAGUAGGUGGAAAAGGGAAGCAUUUCAUUGAACACCAGCUGCUGCUGCUGCUAAUCUGAGCUGUUCUGAAUAAAACAGUUCCACUUGAAUCAAUGAAGCAGCCCUUAGAAAUUGUUUCUUUCUGACAUGCGCAUCAUUUGAGUUAUUUGAAGUCAUUCCUACUACAGUCCAUAUCUCUAAUUCCAUUUUAAAUACGUAUCAUACUGAUUCUAACACAGACUCUAACAAAAUGAUUUUUAAAUCUAAGGAAAUGCAUUGAUUCAAUUAAAUCUUAGUAUUAAAGAUGGUACAGACAUUCUACACUUAUUGUUUUUCUUCAGAAUCUCUCAACUGAAAAAAACAUCUGACUAGGGAAGAAUCAUGAGUAUCAUUUAUAAUUGAUACACUAUUUUGUUUUAGUACUGCUUGAGGCCCACAUACAGAACACAAAAUUCUGUUAUCAAAAUGAUAAAUGUUACUAUGUGGAUUCUUUGGCAUUGCUUCAAACAAAAUUUUAUACUUAAAGUCUGACUUUUUAAAAUUAUUGAUUUUACUUUUAUUUUGUAACAUUAAAUUAGCAUACUACAUAUGGAAAGACCAAGAUUUUUAAAGAUAGUAAUAUAGUUAUCAUUUAUGACAUACAAAUUUUAUAUUGCUUCUUUUUUUAAGUUACUGCUAAGCAUAGUACUGAUUGCAUCCAUAUUUCAGUACUUACCACAAAGUUCCUGAAAGGACAGUACAUUUCUGCAAAUUAAAUUUGUACACUCAUUAGGUGCCAGUUGUUUAAAUAAAUCUCAUUAAUUCAUACAACAUUCUUGGAUAUUAUAUACUUUAUGGAUUAGAAAAUUGAGCUUAGAGUAAGUAAGCAACUUGCCCA